UUACUUUUGUACUGUAUUAACUCUUAAAAUGUAUUCAGUAAGUGAAACCAAUGAUUAGUGUAGCACCAACCCCUUCCUUCAAGGAAGCAUUUAAUUCAGUGAAUAAAAAAAUAUUAUUAUCUGUUUUGCAUGGUACAAUGGUUCUAUUAAAACGUACUUGUGUAGUAGGUACUAGAUAAUUUAAAAACAAAAACUGGAAAACCACAAAAAGAAAACAAAAAUCCCACAGCUUGUUAUACAAAAUACGCAUUGCUAAUAGUAGAAGCCAUAUAUUGCCAUUGUACUGUUGUAAUACUGAAGAUUGACUGCUCAUCUGGUGCUAUCUGUAAGCUGUUUGGCAUUAGCGUCUGCUAGGUCCUUCUUCCUAUUUCUUCUUGAAUGUAUAAUGUGUGCCUUUUAAGUUCCUUCUGGUGUUGAAUGGUAAAAUCAGUGUGGUAUUUUUGUAUUAUAAUCUGCACUUUACACUUUCUUGGAAAGUAAGAUUCCAGACUCUCCGGUAUUUUAGUUACAAUAAUAUACGAGUUAGAUGUUACUCUUAGCCAAUCUAUUAGGCUUCUCUUCUUACUGCAUUUUUUCUUUUAAAAGUGAUUGAUUCAGGUCAUG
rnacentral:lncRNA from 1 species